UAAUACAAAUGGAAAGAGAGAUUGUUUCAACAACCCCUCUUAACAGCACCGUUUAAGACGGUGACAGGUAUUAAUUAUUUAAUG
rnacentral:sRNA from 1 species